UGAUAAAAACUCAAAACAGACCUUAAACUUUGGAAUAACGGAAACAGGGUCAAACGAACUCCAUUUUGGUCGAUUCAAAAACUGAGACACUCGUUUUGAAGUCCUCUAGGUCCCCUCCAAAUUUCAUGAUGUUUGGACAUCGUUAAGGCCAUGAAAACAUCCGUCAAAAAUACGACCCCUGUUCUGGACGGAAAUUCACAUUAUUCAUUAAUGGGCCAUCUUUGGACUUAACCCAACCCAUUCCAAUUGCUAUCCACAAACCCAACCCAUCUAUCACAUGUUAUCUUCCUAUGAUCAUGAUGAUUACAUGAGUCAUCACCCAAUUCAACAUGUGAAAGACCUAUUUUUAUACCUUAAAGAAAUGCCAUUAAUUAAUGUGUGUUAGAUGAUUAAAUAUGUUAGUGGAGGAUAUAAUGAUUCAACACCUAGUGCAACAUUCCACUACAUUUAUUCCCUCCCCCUCUUAUGAUGAAAGAAUAAAGGAUGUCUAGAAUAGAAUCUAGAGUAAUCAUAAAAUGAAAGUAGUCUAAACAAUAUCUUGGUUUAACUUGUCAAAAUAAACCAGAAACUUUGAUUGACCAAAACUAAGUCAUAACGAACUCGGAUUGAGUUGAACCAAAAAGAGAAAGUGUUCAUCUUGACGUCAUCUAUCUACCCUCAAAAUUUCACAGCGAUCGGAUUAGAUUUGACCACCAAAACGUUGUUUGGAGUAAGCUGGCCUCUAUUUGGACGAAAAUUCAUAUAUAGCAUUAUUUAAUACUUCCUUUGAUUUGAACAACUCAUCACCCACUUCCUCUAAUGUGUGCACUCAUCACCACAAGUGUUGCCCACAUCCCACAUCUAGAAUGCACCACCUUAGUGAUGAUGAAACCCAUGUGCCUUGGAAAUAAGGCUAAGAUGCACCAAUUCCUAUCCAUUGGAUCAAAAUGUGUCUACUUGAUCCUAACCAUUCAUUCUCUUAUAAAUGGAACCAAGGUGGAAGAUGCAAUGCCCAUUAAGCUUCACUCACACACACACCUAAGGCCAAGAGAGAGAAUUGUAGGAUUUGUGUAGUCUUGUGUUGUUCAAGGCUUGAAGUGUAUGCUAGGAAGUAUUUUGGAAAAGAAGUUUAAAGGAACUACACGAAGAAGAGUGUUAAUAGACAAAGAUUUGAGCUCAAGAAAUUCUAUAGCUAAGGAAGCAUAGUUUACAUUUUAUUUUUAUGUUGACAAAAUUACUAAUAAUUUAUGUGUAUUGUUUUGUGUCUUUAUGGACACCUGUUUUCCUUGUAUUUGUUAUAAGUAUUUUCUAAUGAAGUCUAGAGGUAUUUAUUUUUAGAAGCUCUGAUGUGUUAUUUAAUCCAAGCUUAUUGGAUAAUUAUAUAUUCCGCUGCGAGAGUUAUC